CCUUCGUCUCUCACAUCUAAUCUCCCUGCCUCCUCCUGCAUCCUCCCUGUCUCUCUCGACUCUCUCUCUCCCCUCUCGACUCCGCUGCCGGCGCCGCUGCCCCGCGCCGGCCCGUCGCCGCCCACCCUUGUCGCUGCGUCGCGCCGCUGCCGCCCACCCUCGUCUCCCUCUUAAUCUCCUCUCUCUCUGACUCAAAUGCACGCACACCACACCGCGCCUGAAAUCCUAGAUCUAUAAUCUACAGCCACCUCCCUGCCGAUUCCCGUCGACCGCACGGCGGGAAGGCCGCCGCCUCUGAGCGCAGCCCAAAGCCCCCUCUUCUCUCCAUACUCCGGCGACAACAGCGGCUCCUUGCCGCCGCCGUGCCCUAGCUUCAAUCCGCCGCUGAACUCCCUCUUCCGGCCGCACCACCUGUCCGACCACCACAGCACCAGCCCAGCCGCCUUCGUCGCAGCACAACACCACCGCGACCCACUCCAGAACCGCUGCCCCCCACCAUCUCCCGGCAUCUACACAAGGCGGCUUCGUGCGCCACCCAUCGUUCCUAUCAUGAACGCCGAGGAAGAGCCACCAGUCGGCGCGAUUUACACCAUACCAGCAGCGCCAAACACCUCCUGCCACCGUCUCCCGCCGCCCAGUCACCUUCGCCCUUUUCCUGUCACCACCGUCAGUUUCCAGACACUGCCGCGCGGCCCCAGCUCCAAUCUCAACCCCGCUGUCUGCCGGAGCGAGCCCUGCCCUCCUCCACCGUUCAGGGAAGUUUAUUUCUUCAUUUUUGUGUUGUUCCAAUCAGGACUUGAUUUUUUGCUAAAUUAGGGCUCAAAUCUAGAAAGAGGCUUCCCCAAAUUGAUCUAUAAAAGGAUUUGAACAUAUUGACGCUAUUAAGUCCAGAUUUUUAGAUAUAUUACACUAUUAAAGACUAAGAGAUGAACUAAUUCGAUGCUAUAUGGGAUAAAUGAAAUUUUCUUGCUACAAACACUGGAAAAGUAAUAUUGACAGAUUCUGUAUGUUUAUCAAUGUGGAUUGUUGCUGGUUAAUAGUUUAGAAGUAUAAUCAUCUUCCUUAUAGGAGAUUGUAGUGAUUGCUUUUACAGUGUGAAGUUUCUAUUGUGAAGGGGAUAAAAUGUAGUGCAUGUAGCAGUUGAAACAAUUAUAACUGUUAUUGUGCAUGGAUGAACUUCGAGGAAGUGUGAAUAGAGAACCUUUUGUGCUUGUGAACUAAAUGGUUGAGAUUAUUAAGACCUAAAAGUUCAUUACCAAAAAGUAUCUAAUUGUUAUAAUAAUUAGCUUUACGUUUCAUUUAGCAUUGCAGGUUCGGUGGACCUCGGAGGAGAGGAAGUGGUCCUUGUAUUUUACUCUUUUGUAGAAAUAAAAAAGCCUUUGAGUAGUUACUGAGCUACUUAUUGGUUCUUGGAAGAGCACUCACAUCCUUUUAUUUUCAUGGAGAUCACAAAUGACCUUUUAAUUUGCGGGUUUCUCACUCUUUUGCUGCCUGUGAAGGAGCUCUUACUUGUUGUAGAUGCCUCCCAGGUGCUUCUGGAUUCUUGAGGUGCUAAACCGGAUUGCUGGACUGGACAGGAAAUCAUGAUUUCCUAAUAGUUUUGAAUAAGUGAAUUUGGGCAUUCUUGAGUAGAUGGGAGUCGAUGAGCUAUGAGGACUACUACAAACGAGAAGGCUGAAGCAGAGAACAUCGUUUCAAAUGUCUAGCAAGUUGCGCGCAUUUGUAAUAUUUUUUAAUUAAACAUCUAGCUAAAUAGAAUAUAUGUGAAGUUUUCAUUAUAUUUGGAUGAUAAUGUAUGAAUAUUUUGGAUGAUAUAUAAUAUUGUUAUUGUUGAUUUUAUCA